rnacentral:snoRNA from 1 species
UGGACCAUGAUGAUGACUAGUGGUACAAAGUCAUAGAUGAUGAAUAAUAUUUGUGCGGAACUCUGAGGGCCAG